AAGUGGAGAAGGGUUCCAUGUGAACAGCAGUUGAACAUGGGUCAGUCGGUCCUAAGGGAUAGGCGAAGGCCGUUCGGAAGGGGGGGGCGAUGGCCUCCGUCGCCCCCGUGUCGAUCGAAAGGGAAUCGGGUCCAGAUCCCCGAACCCGGAGUGGCGGAGACGGGCGCCGCGAGGCGCCCAGUGCGGUAACGCAAACGAACCCGGAGAAGCUGGCGGGGGCCCCGGGAAGAGUUCUCUUUUCUUUGUGAAGGGCCGGGCGCCCUGGAAUGGGUUCGUCCCGAGAUAGGGGCCCACGCCCUGGAAAGCGCCGCGGUUCCGGCGGCGUCCGGUGAGCUCUCGUCGGCCCUUGAAAAUCCGGGGGAGAAGGUGUAAGUCUCGCGCCGGGCCGUACCCAUAUCCGCAGCAGGUCUCCAAGGGGAACAGCCUCUGGCAUGUUGGAUCAAGGCAUGUAAGGGAAGUCGGCAAGUCAAAUCCGUAACUUCGGGAUAAGGAUUGGCUCU
rnacentral:rRNA from 1 species